rnacentral:rRNA from 1 species
GACGAACGCUGGCGGCGUGCUUAACACAUGCAAGUCGAACGGAAAGGCCCUGCUUUUGUGGCGCGCUCGAGUGGCGAACGGGUGAGUAACACGCGAGUAACCUGCCCUUGACUUUGGGAUAACUUCAGGAAACUCGGGCUAAUACCGGAUAGGAGCUCCUGCUGCAUGGUGGGGGUUGGAAAGAUUCGGCGGUUGGGGAUGGACUCGAGGCUUAUCAGCUUGUUGGUGGGGUAGUGGCUUACCAAGGCUUUGACGGAUAGCCGGCCUGAGAGGGUGACCGGCCACAUUGGGACUGAGGUACGGCCCAGACUGCUACGGGAGGCAGCGGGGGGGAAUAUUGCACAAUGGGCGGAAGCCUGAUGCAGCAACGCCGCGUGCGGGAUGACGGCCUUCGGGUUGUAAACCGCUUUCGCCUGAGACGAAGCGUGAGUGACGGUAAUGGGUAAAGAAGCACCGGCUAACUACGUG